rnacentral:rRNA from 1 species
CAGUAGCCACGGGAAUACGGAGGGUGCAAGCGUUAAUCGGAAUUACUGGGCGUAAAGCGCACGCAGGCGGUCUGACAAGUCAGAUGUGAAAUCCCCGGGCUUAACCUGGGAACUGCAUUUGAAACUGUCAGGCUGGAGUCUUGUAGAGGGGGGUGGAAUUCCAGGUGUAGCGGUGAAAUGCGUAGAGAUCUGGAGGAAUACCGGUGGCGAAGGCGGCCCCCUGGACAAAGACUGACGCUCAGGUGCGAAAGCGUGGGGAGCAAACAGGAUUAGAUACCCCAGUAGUCUCUGUCUCUUAUAC